rnacentral:sRNA from 1 species
UCGAACCCUAGCCGCGUUUCUUCCUUAACCAGGUUUCGACCCUCUUCCACGAUCACCACCACCACACACAGUUUCAGACUGAUCAACAGGUUGCAAAGGCUCACAGCAGUAUGAACAAGAUUUGAAUGCAGUAUGGGCAAUUUGAGCCAGACCCCUUUCUUUCUCUGCAAAAAACGCAUUGGAAAUAAUUACUGAAGCUUCCAAUAUGUUCAUUGAAGAAGAGCUCAGAAUCCACAGGCUCCUGAUUCUCCAAGCUUACGACAACUCCUCCAUAAUGAUCCUCAACAACACUAAGCAAUUCAAC